rnacentral:rRNA from 1 species
AUUGAACGCUGGCGGCAGGCCUAACACAUGCAAGUCGAGCGGAUGAAGGGAGCUUGCUCCUGGAUUCAGCGGCGGACGGGUGAGUAAUGCCUAGGAAUCUGCCUGGUAGUGGGGGAUAACGUCCGGAAACGGGCGCUAAUACCGCAUACGUCCUGAGGGGGAAAGUGGGGGAUCUUCGGACCUCACGCUAUCAGAUGAGCCUAGGUCGGAUUGGCUAGUUGGUGGGGUAAAGGCCUACCAAGGCGACGAUCCGUAACUGGUCUGAGAGGAUGAUCAGUCACACUGGAACUGAGACACGGUCCAGACUCCUACGGGAGGCAGCAGUGGGGAAUAUUGGACAAUGGGCGAAAGCCUGAUCCAGCCAUGCCGCGUGUGUGAAGAAGGUCUUCGGAUUGUAAAGCACUUUAAGUUGGGAGGAAGGGCAGUAAGUUAAUACCUUGCUGUUUUGACGUUACCAACAGAAUAAGCACCGGCUAACUUCGUG